rnacentral:rRNA from 1 species
AACGAACGUUGGCGGCGUGGAUUAGGCAUGCAAGUCGAACGCGAAUCCCUGGGCAACUGGGGAGGAGAGUGGCGAAAGGGGCAGUAAGGCGUGGGUAACCUACCCUCCGGGCCGGGAUAGCUUCGGGAAACUGAAGGUAAUACCGGGCGACGCAGCGAGAUCGCAUGGUCUUGCUGCCAAAGGUCCGCCGCCGGGGGAGGGGCUCACGUGGUAUUAGCUAGACGGCGGGGUAACGGCCCACCGUGGCAAAGAUGCCUAGCAGGUGUGAGAGCACGACCUGCGCCACUGGCACUGAGACACUGGCCAGACACCUACGGGUGGCUGCAGUCGAGGAUCUUCGGCAAUGGGCGCAAGCCUGACCGAGCGACGCCGCGUGUGCGAUGAAGGCCUUCGGGUUGUAAAGCACUGUCGAGGGGGAGGAAGCCGCAAGGUUGACCUAUCCCUAGAGGAAGCACGGGCUAAGUUCGUG